rnacentral:lncRNA from 1 species
UUUAAAAUAAUACUAAAAAAAUUUUAUAACAAACUUACAUGAUAUGAUAAAAUUUUAAGGUGUGCCUAUUGUUUAAGGUUGCAUCGUUAUAGAAACUGCACUUAAAGAAAAAAUAUACUUAAUAAAUAUGAUGCAUGGUACAAUAUAGGGAAAUUACUUGUAAACAUUAUUUUUACCUAUUGGAAACAAUUUAUUUAUUUUUUAUUUUUUAUGCACCAAAAAUUACAACUAGUAGCCCCAUCUCAAGUGUCCUCCUUUUUGCCACGGUCGAAUUAUACGGCAAUGUCAAUACCAGACCUAAAGGGUGUUAACACCAAACACGAGGGUGAGGAGCUAGAAUUAGAG